rnacentral:rRNA from 1 species
UACGGAGAGUGCGAACGUUGUUCGGAUUCACUGGGCGUAAAGGGCACGUAGGCGGCUCAGCAAAUCAGUCGUGGAAUCCCGACGCUUACCGUCGGAACGGCGGCUGAAAAUACUGGGCUUGAGGGCGUGAGGGGUCACUGGAACUCCCGGUGAAGCGGUGAAAUGCGUAGAUAUCGGGAGGAACGCCGGAGGCGAAAGCGAGUGACUGGCGCGUUCCUGACGCUGAGGUGCGAAAGCUAGGGGAGCAAAC